AUGAUCACCCCUAAUUCUAGAACUUUUCAGAAUCUCAGUUACUGGGUCCUACAGUGGGACAACAGGGUGACCUGGAAGUCUGAUUACUUUCUUAUUAUCAUCCAACUAUUGGAUGCUUAUCCAAAAUACCUCAUCAUGGGAGUAUAAAAUGUGGGCUUCAAGCAGACACAGGAGAUCUACCUGUCCCUCAAAGGGAAGGCUGUAAAUCUGAUGGACAAGAACACCAUGAUGUAUAGGGCCAUCCCAGGGCAUCUGGAAAACAGCUCAGCUCUGGAGAAACUGUUGCCAGAUAGUUGCCACAUAUCCAGGGAAUGUGGGCUUUGUGGUCAUCAAGGAGGAUGUCACUGAGAUCAUGGACAUGCUGCUGGCCAAUAAUGUGCCAGCUGCCAUCUGUGCUGGUGCCAUUGCUACAUGUGAUGUCACUGUGCCAGCCAGAACGCUGGUCUGGAGCCUGAGAAGACCUUCUUCUUCCAGGCUUUGGGCAUCAUCAUACAAACCUCCAGGGGCUCCAUUGAAAUUCUGAGCGAUGGUGAUGGGCAGUUGGUUAAGACUGGACAGAAAGUAGGAGCCAGAGAAGCUACACCGCUGAACAUGCUGGACCUCUCCCCCUGCUCCUUCAGGCUGCUCAUCCAACAGGAUUUUGUCACCAGCAGCACGCACAGCCCUGAAGUGCUUGACAUCAUGGGGGAAACCUACACUCUUACUUCCUGGAGAGUGUCUUCUGUGUUGCUGGUGUUUGUCUGCAGUUGGUUACCCAACUGCUGCACCAGUUCCCUGCCCUACCAUCAAUGAGUACAAAUGAGUCCUGACUUUGUCAGGAGGGACUGAUUACACCUUCGCACUUGCUGAAAAGGUCAAGGCCUUUUUGGCUGAUCCAUCUGGGUUUGUGUCUGCUGCCACCGCUGCUGCUGCUCCUGCUGCUGCCAUAGCUGCAGCCAAGAUUGAAGCUGGAGAAGAGUCAGAGGAGUCAGAUGAGGAUAUGGGACUUAGUCUCUUUGACUAAUCACCAAAAUGCAACCAAAUUCAGCCAGUUUUAUUUGCAAAACAUGGAAAUAAAGGCUUACUUACCUUAAAAAAAAAA